AUAUAAGACCAUUUACAUACGUAUAUACAUAUGCGUUUAGGAAAGACAUUCGAGGGAGAAGAGAGUGACGGAGAAACAGGCAGAGGGAGAGAGGGGGGAGCGCCAUUCAGGAUGUGUAUGUACAGUACUGUGGUUCUGACAGCAGAGACAUUACAGCGCAAGUGCUGUAGGUUCCUAUAGCCUAGUUUUCUGAAAAUGCUGAUCUCUCACUUGUAUCCUUACAUGAGUGCUCUUUAGCUUUGGCCACAAGGUUUAUGUCUGGUUUUGAUAAGUAGCUCAUUGUCUGAUGUAACAUCAACUGUUGGCCUGCAAUGGAAAUUUCAAACAAGCAGGAUAUUUAAUUUAAAAAAGAUAUUCCUUGCUUUCCCAUAACUGUACAAUUUUAGUGGAGUAACUCUUUAGUUCUGUUUUAAAGCUUUAAAUGCAGCUAAAUUGAAAAAUCUUCACCUAGAGGCCCAGUUAAGACCGUGUCUUUAUUUUUUUUUUGCCCACCAGUUCAGCAAAGAUUAGUUUUCAAUUGAAAAUUUUGCCUUACAUGACAUAAUUAUUCACCAAGUUGUAGGCUACUGUUACAAGCAUCACUGAUGUGUCUAUACUGUAUUCUUUCACUUUUCACUGGCUCUGGCCCUGGAGAGAAUAUUGGAGAAGGCAUUCCCCUAAUUAUUUCCCACAACCUGCAAGAAUUUUUGUGGGCCAUCCGUAGCCAGCCUCUGGGCUCCAGAAUCAUCAACACCUUGUACCUCAUCAGUGAAGAUGCUGGGAAGUCUCAAAGUCCAUUUAUGGUCGCAGUAGCAAACAGCAUACGCUGGCAGACAUGUUGAGCUGACAGAGAGAGAUCUACAGUUUCAGGAGCUAAGGCCCUCGUGCUGUUGGACAAAUUUCAUGCUCUUGAUCCUCAAGUGCACCGCAGCAGAGACAAGGUUUGGACAGGGCCUGGGAUCCUGCAGGGAUGGGAGAGGUCCAGGCUUGUGACCCCUGACGGCGAGGGCUUUAGAGGAGAAGAGGCCCAGGCCAGAGAGGGCAUAGGGCAACAUGGGGUGACUGAAGGACACAGUGUGGGGUCACACUGGGGCUCUUCCUGCUCUGCAUGUUGUAUGCCCCUGUGCUCCCGAGGCCAGAGCCUGAUUACUGCGCUGGGAUCCAGCCACAGAGCGUUUUCAUUAGGGAGAGGGCCAAGAUCAUCCAGGAAGGUUCCGGCCCAUUAAUACAUUUGAAACAGCAAAUGAAAGCGGGGGCUGUUGAGGGGUCUGAAAGGGGGGUUCUGGGUUAUUUUGAAAGGGGAGAACCCUGUGGAACUACCAUGAGAGCCUUAGUGAAUAAAUACCCUGUGGAUCAUCUUAACCUCAUUCUACUUUUUUUUUUCCUUUCCCCUCUCUAAGAUCUGCAGCCAAUUUUCCUGCAAUUUAGGAUAAAUUGUUUGUGAAAUCCAUGUCGAUCUUUCCACUGGGAAUGCGUUCACAAAAGAUAGAGAAAGGAGGACCUGGCUGUAAGGAUAGCUGCAGUGAGAAUGGAACAAUGUCUGAAGGAUUUGGCUAAUGACAUCAUCUGCUUCCUGUUUCAGACUUAUGCUUCUGAUACACACAAUCAUAACAGACAGUAGAAGUCGAUUUUGCAUUCACACUUGAAGUAGCAUGUAGUGAUCAAAGUAACUUUAUUCAUGUGACAUAAUACACCGUACUCUGAGAUGUAUUUAAAGCCUGGGGUUAGGAGACAAUACAAGCCUACGAAUGGAUAAACUAUUAUUUGAAAUAUUCUUUGCUCAAACACUUUCAUCUGCCUUUAUUAGAAAAUGCAAGAAAGCAGGUUGGUCUAAUCAUACUGAAGGUUAACCGCUCAUCUUCCCUCUCCAUGGUAAAUAUGAUAUUUCCCCAGCUAGUAGUUGCACCACUGUAGGUGUUUAUUACCAAUAACCAUAUCAAGCCAUCACUGCUAGAAGAAAAGAAAUCUCUUCAGGUCAGUUUCCACACUAGUUAAUAUUUUAUCCUGCGUAGUGGUGUAAUGACUACUAUUGAUUUUUCACCAUCUCUUAUUAAUGCAGUCUGGUGCCACAGCAAAAUGCUAAUCAUAUAGCACGCCUCUCUACAUUUAUCAUGUUAACUUCUUCAUCUGCUGUAACUAAAAUAUGUCUCAUUCCCAGGUCUGUGAAACCUGGUGGUACUUCAGAGGCCUGCUGUGAUGCUUCUCUCAGCUGACUAAUGUGACUUGUUUUAAACUUUAAAUAAAAUGGUAACA